GGCCCUACGGGGUGCAGCAGGCGCGAAAACUUUACAAUGCUGGGAACAGCGAUAAGGGAACCUCGAGUGCCAGGUUACAAAUCUGGCUGUCGUGAUGCCUAAAAAGCAUUAUAUAGCAAGGGCCGGGCAAGACCGGUGCCAGCCGCCGCGGUAACACCGGCGGCUCGAGUGGUAACCGUUAUUAUUGGGUCUAAAGGGUCUGUAGCCGGCCGGAUAAGUCUCUUGGGAAAUCUGGCAGCUCAACUGUCAGGCUUUCAGGGGAUACUGUCUGGCUCGAGGCCGGGAGAGGUGAGAGGUACUUCAGGGGUAGGGGUGAAAUCUUGUAAUCCUUGAAGGACCACCAGUGGCGAAGGCGUCUCACCAGAACGGACCUGACGGCAAGGGACGAAAACUAGGGGCACGAACCGGAUUAGAUACCCGGGUAGUCCUAGCCGUAAACGAUACUCGCUAGGUGUCGGCCACGGUGCGACCGUUGUCGGUGCCGUAGGGAAGCCGUGAAGCGAGCCACCUGGGAAGUACGGCCGCAAGGCUGAAACUUAAAGGAAUUGGCGGGGGAGCACCACAACGGGUGGAGCUUGCGGUUUAAUUGGAUUCAACGCCGGAAAUCUUA
rnacentral:rRNA from 1 species